rnacentral:rRNA from 1 species
UACAGAGGGUGCAAGCGUUGUUCGGAAUUAUUGGGCGUAAAGCGUGUGUAGGCGGCUUUGCAAGUCGGAUGUGAAAGCCCCGGGCUCAACCCGGGAAGUGCACUCGAUACUGCAGGGCUUGAGUGUCGGAGAGGUUGGUGGAAUUCUCGGUGUAGAGGUGAAAUUCGUAGAUAUCGAGAGGAACACCGGCGGCGAAGGCGGCCAACUGGACGAACACUGACGCUGAGACACGAAAGCGUGGGGAGCGAACAGG